rnacentral:tRNA from 1 species
UUGGUUAGUGGCCGGUGGUGGUGGCCCUGGUUAGGGGCCGGGUGAAAACGAGCGGCUCGGUGAGCCGCAGCUCAGGACCAGCGUCAACUGGG